AUUCAUUUAGUUUAAAAAACAUUUUAUUUUCAUUAAAAAAAAAGCAAUAAUGCUUAUGAAUU
rnacentral:tRNA from 1 species